rnacentral:rRNA from 1 species
AAAACAUCGCCUCUUGAAAUAUAAACCAAGCAUAAGAGGUCCAGCCUGCCCAGUGACCAUAGGUUUAACGGCCGCGGUAUUUUGACCGUGCAAAGGUAGCGCAAUCACUUGUCUUUUAAAUAAAGACCUGUAUGAAUGGCCAAACGAGGGCUUAACUGUCUCCCAUUUCUGGUCAGUGAAAUUGAUCUGCCCGUGCAGAAGCGGACAUAAUAACACAAGACGAGAAGACCCUUUGGAGCUUAAGGUACAAAACUCAACCACAUCAAGCAACUCUAUAAAAAGCAACUUAAACCUUACGGCAAUUGAGACCCUACCUUCGGUUGGGGCGACCACGGAAGAAAACAAAGCCUCCGUGUGGAUUAGGGCCAACUCCCUAAAACUAAGAGAGACAUCUCUAAGCAGCAGAACAUCUGACUACACACGAUCCGGCUAAUCUAGCCGAUCAACGAACCAAGUUACCCUAGGGAUAACAGCGCAAUCCCCUCCCAGAGUCCAUAUCGACAAGGGGGUUUACGACCUCGAUGUUGGAUCAGGACAUCCUAAUGGUGCAGCCGCUAUUAAGGGUUCGUUUGUUCAACGAUUAAAGUCCUACGUGA